rnacentral:rRNA from 1 species
UACGGCGAGUGAGCGGCAACAGCUCAAAUUUGAAAGCUAGCCUUCGGGUUCGCAUUGUAAUUUGUAGAGGAUGAUUUGGGGAAGCCGCCUGUCUAAGUUCCUUGGAACAGGACGUCAUAGAGGGUGAGAAUCCCGUAUGUGACAGGAAAUGGCACCCUAUGUAAAUCUCCUUCGACGAGUCGAGUUGUUUGGGAAUGCAGCUCUAAAUGGGAGGUAAAUUUCUUCUAAAGCUAAAUAUUGGCGAGAGACCGAUAGCGCACAAGUAGAGUGAUCGAAAGAUGAAAAGCACUUUGGAAAGAGAGUUAAAAAGCACGUGAAAUUGUUGAAAGGGAAGCGCUUGCAAUCAGACUUGUUUAAACUGUUCGGCCGGUCUUCUGACCGGUUUACUCAGUUUGGACAGGCCAGCAUCAGUUUCGGCGGCCGGAUAAAGGCUCUGGGAAUGUGGCCUCCACUUCGGUGGAGGUGUUAUAGCCCAGGGUGUAAUACGGCCAGCCGGGACUGAGGUCCGCGCUUCGGCUAGGAUGCUGGCGUAAUGGUUGUAAGCGACCCGUCUUGA